AAGUCCUGUUGGUGGUUGCUAUGGCCAGUCUGACCUCAAUCUCCGUGGUUUUGGGGACUUAGCAGUCUUUUUUUCUUAUUGAGGAGCAUGUACCUUGAUUUAUGUCCAAAAUCGUGGCUGAACGUCUUUGUCUGCAAGUGAUAAAUGGUGCCGAGCAAUUCAUCAGUUCUUACAAGUAAACACUGCUGUCCCACUAAAAAUAUGUUUUGUUCUGAGUUAAUGGUAUGGAACAAGGCAGCCUCCACAAACAGCUAUCUUUUAUUGUGGAGGGGCCACUGAAACUUGGAGCAAAGUGGAGGAGAUUGGCAUUCAUUUUCUUGUACAUUAGCAUUUCAUUUGUGAUUCGGAUGAUGCAGCUCUAGGUGGAUUGACUAUGAAAGGCGCUGAAUAUCUUCAGGAAAAUGGGUUCCAUGAGAAGUGACAUCCUCCUCGAAUCAAAAGGAAGAAUGACUUGGGCAAUACCAAAUGUUGAGUUAUCAAGUAUUUCGAUACCCAUAUGCAUCAUCUGCUGUAAGUAUUCUCAGGAUGAUGGAGUGAGUGAUGGAAUAGGUUGCCAACUGUAGUUACUCCACUCAGCACAGAAUGGCUGCGGGGAAAUAUAAUCAGACAUGCCCAAAGAAGUCUGCUUAGGGUGAAACAAAUACCUUUGAGGUUUAAAUCAGAAAGGAAGGAGAGACUGUUUCUACAGGUGUCAUACAAAAAUCAAUACUGAGCCAAGGAUUAUUGGAUCCCAUAGAACCACGGAGACUUGGUAGUGAAAUUCUUCCAAAGCAUUCCAUCCGUGCAGGCAGAUGGUGUUCCUAGGUUUGGAAAUAUAAAUCCCAUGGGAAGUCAGCUGAAGACCAUUUUAUGCAUCACUCAUCCUGUUAGAGCCCUGUGCUGUUCUGUCUCUCUAUAAGACUGGCUGAAACCACCACGGUUGUUUACAAUUUAUGCUCUAACUUUGGAUCACCUAGUUAAUACUCUAACUCCGAUUAUUACCAAAGACAAUGUUCUAUAAAAGAUAUUGUCUAUUAGAAGGAUGCUUCUGCAUUAUUAAUAAAAUCACAGGGAAAAUGCAACAUUUUGGAUGUCACAUCUGAUAAGUUGGCAGUUAAAGAACAGAAACAGCAAUAAGACUGCGUGGCUACAUUUUCCCAGUGCCACCAACUGGGAUUUAAGCUGACUAACAUUUUGAAAGCCCAGCCCAUUUCAUUCACAGCAGGAUGGCAGUGGGUGACUGAUCGUACCCGCCAGCUGGCUAAUGUCAUAAUUAACAAAGUUGCUACUACAUCUGCAAAGUUUAAUCGAAAAAUUUGCCAGUGAUAUGAUGGCCUUGUCACAGAGAUCACAAGGGACACGGAGUUGACUUUUGCUCAAGGUGGAACGACAGAGCUGUGUAGGCAAGAUGAGAAAUUGCGAACUUGUUCGGCCAAAGGAGGCUAAUAAUGAAGGGGCCGGGAAGGAGGCCAGUGCUACCAGGGUUAUCUCACAACCUCAGAUGCUGGAUAAGUCGACGGAGGCAGAAUCGCUUUGGGAUGACAUUCAGAAAGCCUGGAGUGAUUACUUGCAAGAGAAAAGCCUACCUAUUCUUUCCAAGGUGCAGGAAUAUUCCCCUGACCUGCUCAUCCAGUGGUCCAGUAAUGAAUUACUGGAGACCUGCCUUAGACAAAGAAUGCACUCGGAGCCCCAACACACCUAAAGCCAUGCUUUGAAGGAUCUGCCAAGCUCACUUUUAAUCAUGAGAAAGAAAUUACCCACACGGAGUCAGCAGAAAAUGAGAAAGUAGAGCUCGUGCUGUGAAUAAUUCCAGCAAGUGCCAAGGGGCUAGUUGAGGAAUGGCUUCAUGAGAACAUGCUCUAGGGGAACUAUUAAUAGCCCACCAGUCGGGUAGGCAGCAUUCAAUCCUUCUAUGCCUUCUUUCGCCACCUGUUGAGGUCUUUCUUCUGAAACAAAGAAGAAAUAGACAAAUCAGACUUGCCCUCUUGGAAAUGUGGUCCAGAUUUCUCUACUCCCAAGCUCCAAAAAAGGUAUACAUUGGAUGGGCUAGAUCAACUCCUCCUGAGAGCCAUAAAUCCGCCAAGAGUUGUUUUCCAUGUAAGGGUGUGGUACAAUGGGGAACACCUGAUGUUGGAGGAAAGCAGGAGGACUUUAGAGUGGAGUUGCAUUCUAAUCUCUCUGCCGCUUCAACUAUGUGACCUGGGGCAAAUGAUAUAAACUCUAUGAGCCUCUUUCCUUAUCUUUAAAAUGAAGAGAAGUAAUACCUACCUUGUAGGGCUGUUGUGAGGAUUAAAUGAAGUAAUGCAUACAGUGCCUAACAAAGUAUUUAACAUCAUAUUUUUUAAAAGCUCAUGAAAUAUUAGUUUUUCUUCCUUCCCCUCUUUCUAUUUUCUCUCCUGUUCCCUUUUCUCUCCCUCCUCUGCCCUCUCCUUCCUUCAGAUGUUAGUCUAAAACAGCACCUUGGAUCUAAGCAGCACCUUUGAGAAAGAAAAGACUGCUUCAAGAAUGUCUAGUUGCACCUCCUUUCCGUAUGUGGCCUAAAUGCCUAGGUUGGAUCAAUAGUUUAAUUUUUUUAUUGAACUGUUUAAUAUUGACUAUGGACUUACAUUCACUUUUACUGUUUUCUGUAUAUUUACUUUUGCUUGAAGUGUUUUAAUAUUGACUAUUUACCUCUGCUCAUUUUUAUUGAUUUUCUGUAUUUUUUCAAUGAAAAUUAUAAUAAAAAUUAUUUUUGUUA
rnacentral:lncRNA from 1 species